CACGCAGCAAGCAACAUCUCGAGCCCCACGCCCCUGCCAUCUUAGGUCUCCCACGCACGCAAGGCUCCUCUGCCCACACUAUCGGCCUCAUCUCCCACCGUCCCACGGCGGCGACGCCCCACUGCAUGUCCGCCUCCUACCAUUCUUCUCGUCGACGUCGUAGGAUUAGGAGCGGGGAAACAACAUCCGAGGACCACGGCGGUGUGCCGGUGUGCGCAGACGGGGCUGCAGCGCCAGCGAUCUGCAUCCGGUGGAUCGGUGGCCAGCAUCGUGAUCUGAAGCAAGGAGAUAUUGAUGUUGGGAUCAUCGUUGAGGGGAGGGGCUGAAGCGGUUGGAGGCGAAGCAGAUCACGUCGCUGGGCGGUCGGGGAAGGUCGAGUGCUCGUCGACUCGGCUUCUGAAAAAGAGGAUCACCCUCACAGGUGCAGGCGGAUGAGUGGAGUCGCCCGGCUGAGGGCUACAGAGGAAGUCGAAUUCCAAGCGCCACGGCCGGCUGAUUCUGCUACCCUGAUGUGUUCAUUCCUUCUUUUUUUCUCAUCGCUUCCCACAUCUGUUGUAUGUCUCUUGGGCUCUUGACAGGUAGGAGAAAUUACUUUACACGGGAACGCAAGAUACAUGGAGAAGGAUGCACAUGGACCGCUGCUAGGAAGGUUGGCUGUUCUGAAACUAGCUAUUUCUGUUUUCCAUUUGUCUAAACGUUGCUCUAUUCCAGCUUGUAGCUGCAUCGUCAAGAUAUUCAGGUUCCUCGUGUUUCCUACAUGUUUGUUUCCACAUUUACCUUUGAUUACAGCCUCAACUGUACUGACACUACUUACUAUUGAGGGAGAGUUCAUACUGUUUGGAGAAAUUGGAGAAGCACUUGUUGGUAAACAGAAGGCUCUCCCGUACGCCACCAUGACCAGGUUGUUUCAUGGAUACAACAAGUGAUGAGACACACUUCUUGGCAGCGUUACUAUGAUACUUGUUCUUCUAUUUUCCUUGCUUUACUGAACUUAUUUUGUUCUCCUUUGUAGUAGCAUGAUUGGAGGCUAGAAAGAAUAUGCGCUUCAAUUAUGGUGUGUGCCGUUGCUCUCAUAGUGUAAAGAACCCAUGUUGAUGCCUUAAGUCCAGCACGCAUGUCACACUCUUGUCAGCAGAAGAACGGGAAUUCGUCCUCAACCAAGGUUUCUGAGAAGGAGUAGUCAGUUGUCACAUGGUGAGUUGAACCACGAAAAUGACAAGGUUAAGAAAUUGUUCUUCUGGGAGGCGAUGGAACUGAGGAAUGUGUUCAUAGCGACAUUGGUUAACAAUAUAAACUGAUUGCGAGAGUUAGAUUCUUUUGAGCUGGUAGGUUAUUUCUCUUAUUGCUGAUCUUAUUGCACCUACAUCUCAUGAAAAAUAGAAGAAUCUAUUGUUUACUAAUAUCUUUGUUUAAUUGUGAGGAUAUUGGCACCUACACUAUAUAUCUUCAUUUGGUGGCCCUGUUGUUGUCUUUGGCUAGCAUUUGAGUAAAGAUACAGUUUGGUUGUUCUUC